GACGAACGCUGGCGGCGUGGAUUAGGCAUGCAAGUCGAACGGUAUCAUCCUUUCGGGGGUGAGAGGGUGGCGAACUGGUGAGUAACACGUAGGUUAUCUACCCUCAAGACGGGGACAACCCAGGGAAACUUGGGCUAAUACCGGAUGUGAGCAACUUUUAGUUGUUUGAAAGGUGGCGUAAGCUGUCGCUUGGGGAUGAGCCUGCGUCCUAUUAGUUAGUUGGUGAGGUAACGGCUCACCUAGGCAAUGAUAGGUAGGCGGCCUUAACGGGUGGUCGCCCACACUGGGAUUGAGAUACGGCCCAGACUCCUACGGGAGGCAGCAGUCGAGAAUAGUCUACAAUGGUCGGAAGACUGAUAGUGCGACGCCGCGUGAACGAUGAAUCCCUUCGGGGUGUAAAGUUCUUUUAUAUGUGAGCAGUGCUUCUUAUAUUAACAGUAUGGGGAGAGAGAUAUUAGCAUAUGAAUAAGCAACGGCUAACUCCGUGCCAGCAGCCGCGGUAAACUCGUCU
rnacentral:rRNA from 1 species